rnacentral:rRNA from 1 species
AACACGUGGGCAACCUGCCCUGAAGCGGGGGAUAACAUCUGGAAACAGGUGCUAAUACCGCAUAACAACGAAACCACAUGGUUUCGUUUCAAAGAUGGUUUCGGCUAUCACUUCAGGAUGGGCCCGCGGUGCAUUAGCUAGUUGGUAAGGUAACGGCUUACCAAGGCGAUGAUGCAUAGCCGAGUUGAGAGACUGAUCGGCCACAAUGGAACUGAGACACGGUCCAUACUCCUACGGGAGGCAGCAGGC